AGGAGGAUGGGAUGGAAGUGGAGGAGGAGGACCAGGAGGAGUGACCAUCUCUCUGACUUUGCCAGUGCCGGGCAAAAGCAAUGACAGAAGAAACAAUAUCAUAAAUGACUCCAAGAAGGCUCAUUCCAGCCAUAUUCGGUGGAAGCCUCAGGGUCCAUAUCCCCCCAGCUUCAACCAGACCCCCACUCCUGGACAAGAGGAAGAAAAGCCCAGUUUGACAAAGAGCCAGCCCCUCAGGACCAAAGAGCAGGCCUCAGAUAAAGCUGCUUCUCGGGAUAAAUCAUCCCACAAUAAGGCACCUUCCCGGGAGAAGAAACACAAUGAAAAGACUGCCAGUUGGGACCAAACCCCCUGCACGGAGAAGCUCCUCCCCCCUGACAAGAGCACCGGCAAGACCCUGUCCACGGACAAAAAAAAGAGGACAAGACCUCCAGUCAGACCUCCACAGACAAGGACAAGACCUCAGUCAACCCCCUCUCUGUGGACAAGCCACCUUCUUCAGGCCAACUCUCUUCAGAAAAAGCAUCCCCAGACAAGACACCCUUCCCAGAGCAGCCCCUGUCCGACUCUCAGGUAGCCACAGGAGCAGCUGACUUUGAGCAGUCAGUGGAGAUAGAGAUGUCAGAGACCACCCUGAGUGGCUUGACAGACCGCAUGGAUCAGGUGGAGGCUGAAGUUGCUUCUCUGAGGGAGAUGUUGGCGCUUCUGAUGUCACAGCAGGAAAAGGACAUGUCAGAAAUCCAGGAGGAACUGAGAACUGAACGGGAGCAGAGACUGGAACUGCAGGUUGAGUUCGAGAUGCUGAAAUCAAAGACCAACCUGGUGUAGGGCCCAGGCCGGAGGGGGCUUGUCCUUACCCACGGACACAGGCUUCGCCUCCUCCCCAUUCCUGAGGGGCCGCCCCACCCCUUCCCCAUGGGGGGAACCUCAAGCAACACCUCCCCCCGCGCUCUCCCCUUCGGGGCUUUGCGGGUGAGAGUAUGGGGAUUGUGGCUGGGGCCCCCCAAACUCUCUGCAUGAGACUGGCCGGGGCUCUUUGCGCCCCGCCCCGAGGACUCCUCUUAACCCCUCCUCAAAAAACCCAUACCGGACGCCGCCCCGCCCCCGCCCCCCGUAUCAGAAACAGAGUGUAAUAAAAUUGUAUUUGUAA